rnacentral:rRNA from 1 species
CCUACGGGGGGCAGCAGUGGGGAAUAUUGGACAAUGGGCGAAAGCCUGAUCCAGCCAUGCCGCGUGUGUGAAGAAGGCCUUCGGGUUGUAAAGCACUUUCAGUGGGGAAGAAAGCCUUGGGGCUAAUACCCUCGAGGAAGGACAUCACCCACAGAAGAAGCACCGGCUAACCCCGUGCCAGCAGCCGCGGUAAUACGGAGGGUGCGAGCGUUAAUCGGAAUUACUGGGCGUAAAGCGCGCGUAGGCGGUCUGAUAAGCCGGUUGUGAAAGCCCCGGGCUCAACCUGGGAACGGCAUCCGGAACUGUCAGGCUAGAGUGCAGGAGAGGAAGGUAGAAUUCCCGGUGUAGCGGUGAAAUGCGUAGAGAUCGGGAGGAAUACCAGUGGCGAAGGCGGCCUUCUGGACUGACACUGACGCUGAGGUGCGAAAGCGUGGGUAGCAAACAGGAUUAGAUACCCGUGUAGUC